AGCGAACGCUGGCGGCAGGCCUAACACAUGCAAGUCGAACGAACCUUUCGGGGUUAGUGGCGGACGGGUGAGUAACACGUGGGAACGUGCCUUUAGGUUCGGAAUAACUCAGGGAAACUUGUGCUAAUACCGAAUGUGCCCUUCGGGGGAAAGAUUUAUCGCCUUUAGAGCGGCCCGCGUCUGAUUAGCUAGUUGGUUGAGGUAAUGGCUCACCAAGGCGACGAUCAGUAGCUGGUCUGAGAGGAUGAUCAGCCACAUAGGGACUGAGACACGGCCCAAACUCCUACGGGAGGCAGCAGUGGGGAAUCUUGCGCAAUGGGCGAAAGCCUGACGCAGCCAUGCCGCGUGAAUGAUGAAGGUCUUAGGAUUGUAAAAUUCUUUCACCGGGGACGAUAAUGACGGUACCCGGAGAAGAAGCCCCGGCUAACUUCGUG
rnacentral:rRNA from 1 species